GCUUGACUGUGUGUGGAUGGUGUUCAGCACCAGAGACAGGUCUGCCUAACUGUGUGUAGAUGGUGUUCAGCACCAGGGACAGGUCUGCUUGACU
rnacentral:pre_miRNA from 1 species